rnacentral:tRNA from 1 species
UUCCUAAUGGUCCAGUGGUUAGGACUCGGCACUUUCACAGCUGAGGGCCCAAGUUCAAUCCCUGGUUGGGGAA